rnacentral:rRNA from 1 species
UCACUCCUACGGGGGGCAGCAGUGAGGAAUAUUGGUCAAUGGGCGAGAGCCUGAACCAGCCAAGUCGCGUGAAGGAUGACGGCCCUAUGGGUUGUAACCUUCUUUUGUCAGGGAGCAAUUGGGUCCACGCGUGGGCUUAGCGAGAGUACCUGAAAAAAAAGCAUCGGCUAACUCCGUGCCAGCAGCCGCGGUAAUACGGAGGAUGCGAGCGUUAUCCGGAUUUAUUGGGUUUAAAGGGUGCGUGGGCGGA